UAUCAAUAAGCGGAGGAAAAGAAACUAACAAGGAUUCCCCUAGUAACUGCGAGUGAAGCGGGAAAAGCUCAAAUUUAAAAUCUGGUGGUCUCUGGCCAUCCGAGUUGUAAUUUAGAGAAGCGUCUUCCGCGCUGGACCGUGCACAAGUCUCCUGGAAUGGAGCGUCGUAGAGGGUGAGAAUCCCGUCUUUGGCACGGACGCACCAGGGCUUCUGUGAUGCGCUCUCGAAGAGUCGAGUUGUUUGGGAAUGCAGCUCAAAAUGGGUGGUGAACUCCAUCUAAAGCUAAAUAUUGGCGAGAGACCGAUAGCGAACAAGUACCGUGAGGGAAAGAUGAAAAGCACUUUGGAAAGAGAGUGAAACAGUACGUGAAAUUGUUGAAAGGGAAACGCUUGAAGUCAGUCGCGUCGCCCGAGACUCAGCCUUGCCUCGGCUUGGUGUACUUCUCGGCCGACGGGUCAGCAUCAAUUUUGCCCCUUGGAUAAUGGCGAGGGAAAUGUGACACCUUUACGGGUGUGUUAUAGUCUUUCGUCGCAUGCAAGGGUCGGGAUUGAGGAACUCAGCACGCGCCUUUGGGCGUCGGGGUUCGCCCACGAUACGUGCUUAGGAUGUUGGCGUAAUGGCUUUAAACGACC
rnacentral:rRNA from 1 species